CUUCCAUUUUUUCGGAGUUGACAGAGAGCAGUUUCUCGAGCAACAGUUUGCAGACUGAUGUUCUGCAAAAAAAAACUGAAUAUUCUUUUCCCUAUCACUUCGGACCGAGUCACUAAAAUUUUUGUACUCGGUCGUCGUCACAUUUCUCGAGAUUAGGCGAUGAGAGAGUCAACAACUGGCGAUAGGCAACGCAUAUUCAGUCGUACUGAAGAAGCUCGCCUUGGACGCUCGCGCGGUAUUUACUCGCCGCGCGGCAGCGCGCGUAAUAGAACGUAACGUAAGACGAGUGACUAAUGUUUGGGUCAUCGAUUCAAUGACACUGUAAAGUACUUGGCAUGUGUGUAAAUCCCAGGAGAGAAAGAAAAAGAGAAAAUGGGCUGGCACGCAUAUCCGAUUUACCGAUAUGAGGAGAACCGAGAGACUAGAAUAUCUAAAUAAAUAUUCCUCGGAAAUCAAACAGCUUCAGACGCUGACCUCGUCAAACGUCGGUAUCAUGUGUCAUCGUAUACGUUUCCGCAAAAUGCAACUCGAGAUUCUCAAAUAAUCGUUUAGUUCAACAUUUGAUGCGAGUAAACGCGCGCGCGAUCGAUGGUAUGUGUAUGUGCUUUAUACAUAUAUUUAAUUUAAGAAAUAGAGUUUUAAUAUCUACGAUUUAAUUGAAAAGUUUAUCGCGAUAGCAAUUACUUUAAUAUGUGAUGCAUUUAUAGCGAAUUGAUUAAUCAAGUUUCGUUUCAAAUAAAGAAGAAACAAUCCUUCAACGCAAUUUAACUGAAAAAAAUGUUUAUAAAAU